ensembl:snoRNA
AUCCUUUUAUGGCUCAUGAACGUGAUGAUCGGGUUUUCACACACAUGUGAGAUGGGCCUCCCAUAAACCAUGAGACAUCAGCACAUUACCUGUCUGACA